rnacentral:lncRNA from 13 species
GCUGGAACAAUGUAUGACUUCACUGGGGCUACUGGGAUGGAAUUAACAUACUUUGCAUAUGAGAAUAACACAAAUUUGAGGGGCCAAGGGUGAGAUGCUAUGAUUUGAAUGUGUUCCCGAAAGUUCAUGGGUUGGGAAUUUAACCUCCCAUGCAACAGUGUUGAGAGAUGGGAGAUUUUAGGUCAUGAGGGUUCUGCCCUCAUAAAAGGAUUAAUGUCAUUAACAUGUGAGUAGGUUAGUUAUUGCAGGAGUGACUUUUGGAUAAAAGAAUGAGUUCGAUACCAUUUCUUUAUCUCUCUUGCAUGUUCUCCUGCUUCCACCUUCUGCCUUCUGCUAUGAGAUGACACAGCAAGAAGGUCCUCACUAGGUGCUGAGAAGAUGCCAGUGCCACUGCCCUGCCAUUGGACUUCCCAGCCUCCAGAACCAUGACCCAAAUAAAUUUCUGUUCAUUGUAAGUUAUCCACAUGGAAGAAGGAUGGAGAUGUGGGCUCAACGGAGAGGAAGCUGAGAACCCUGCACUAGGCUUCCUAGCACCAAGACUUGUUCUUGACCUCCAGGAACUCCUGGGGAAAAGAAUCUCUAAUGAUUUGACUCCUGAACUGACAAUAAUAUCUGAAAGUGUCAGAGGUGUUUGAACAAGAGCAACUUCAUCUUGAAUAGGAGCUGGUUAAGUAAGGCUGAAACCUUCUGGGCUGCACUCCCAGAUGGUUAAGGCAUUCUAAGUAACAGGAUGAGAUGGGGGUCGGCACAAGAUACGGGUUGUAAAGACUUUGGUGAUACAACAGUUUGCGGUGAAGAAGAUGGCUAAAACCCACCGAAACCAAGACAGCAACGAAAGUGUCCUCUGGUUGUCCUCACUGUUACACUCCCACCAGUGCCAUGACAGUUUAUGAAUGCCACGGCAAGUUACUCUAUACGGUCUAAAAAGGGGGACAUGAACAAUCCACCCCUUGUUUAACAUAUCAUCAAGAAAUAACCAUAAAAAUUGGCAACCAGCAGCCCUCAUGCCCUCGUGGAUGCUCUAUGGAGUAGCUAUCCUUUUUUUUUU